rnacentral:misc_RNA from 1 species
CCCUCUCAAAGUCAUUGCAACCUUCCAGUUCUCAACAUCUGGUGGCUCUCCACUGCCAAACUCAGUGGUUCCUGAACCAGGCUUCCUUUCAUGAACUAAAAUCACCUGAUCAUCAGACCCUGAUGCAACAUAUCGGCCAUGCUUAGCCCACCUAACACAGUUGACUGAUCCGAAGUGAUCUCGGAGCGUUGCAAGAAGCCUUUGUGUCGGU